rnacentral:ncRNA from 6 species
GGUGAACCUGCGGAAGGAUCA